GAUGAAGAACGUAGCGAAAUGCGAUAAGUAAUGCGAAUUGCAGAAUUCAGUGAGUCAUCGAAUCUUUGAACGCACAUUGCGCCCUGUGGUAUUCCGCAGGGCAUGCCUGUUCGAGCGUCAUUUCAACCCUCAAGCUCUGCUUGGUGUUGGGCCCUGCCCGCUGCGGCCGGCCCUAAAGACAGUGGCGGUGCCGCCUGGCCCUGAGCGUAGUACAUCUCUCGCUCCAGUGCCCGGUGGUAGCCUACCAGAACCCCAACUCUCGUGGUUGACCUCGGAUCAGGUAGGGAUACCCGCUGAACUUAAGCAUAUCAAUAAGCGGAGGA
rnacentral:misc_RNA from 1 species